rnacentral:misc_RNA from 1 species
UGCGUUCGUUUUCUCCCAGCUGGGAGCUGGUAGAGUCCUUAUAUAGGACUCUACUCUAGUCUACUGAAGGCUUGUAGUUGUGACAAGAAACGUUUAAAAACUAGAAAAUAAUCGCAGUAAAUUAAUUGAUUAUUUAGAUUAAUCGGCAAGAAAAUAAUUGGAAAAUGGUCAUUGUUUAAGCAUUAUUUAAUCGAUUAAUCGAUUGACAUCGCGCAUCCCUAAUUACAAUAUGUUAAAAAUGUAGUAAACACACGUAUGUACGUAAAUUCUGUAUAAAUUAACGUGGGAGGCAAUAAAUUUGUUCGUAGAAUUUGUAUCCAUUUACAAAUUUAUUAACUGUAUCCACAUAGAAAACAAAAAAAGAUUCCUAUUUGGUAUGUUAUACUACAGGUACGAUGAUGUCACAUCAUUCCAUCGGAUUAAUUGAAACAUCGUGCCAAAGAGCGAUAUUUUUAUGUAAAUUAUUUUGUCACUUAUUUGUUCACGUAUUAAACAAAUAAUAAACUCUAAUAAACUUCAGCCACGUAGCAUUUCAGGAAAGUAUCAGAUAUAAAUAAAAUGUUUUUACACUUUCUACAUGAAAGAGAAUUGUUAGUACAUACAUUAUUGCUAAUUGCAAUAAUACAAUUUCUAUUUCAGGGAGGGUGAGAGGGAAGGGGGAGUAUUUUUCAUUAGGUAUUUUUAAUGUCAAAUGCGUUGUCACAUUUACACGCAUACAUUAUUAAUGUAACGUACAAUGUACAAAUAUAAAAAAACAUAAAAUUACAGUAAAAUACAAAUUUUUUUUUACAGUGUCAAAGUAAUCGAUGUUUGAUCUCUUCAUGACAUCUGCGGAACAUUUUAUUAGUCUUAUAACGGUAACGAGUGCAAAGAAAUUAGCUACUGCGCUUGUUGUCUGUUUUAUUAUAUAUCAUGGUGUAAUACACCUUAUUUAUGGUAGCGAUUCUUGCAAAUGGUUAUUAACAGAAGGCAGAUACAAAGGAGACAAAGAAUGGCAACCAUACGGAUGCAUGAUGCACCAUUAUACACAAACAGACAGCAGAAGAUGCAUGAGAUAUCUAGCUUUCAUGGACCACCAUAAUCAUUUUGUAUUUACUGGUGAUGCUAGAGUAAGACAAUUAUAUAAAUCUUUUAUUUCACAAUUUAUAAUUGAUGGCAAAGCAUCCGAUCUCAUGGAAAUGCCAGAAAACUCCGAUUUGGGCUUCAACGAUGGGCAACUCAAGUUAAAUGUACAAUUUCUAUGGAGACCACAACUUGAUAAUUCUAUGAUAGAGGAUCUUAGAGGCUGGAUGGUAACAUGUACACUUUAUAAGACAGAUGCACCUGGCGUAAUUGUCGCAGGGGUUGCUGCAGCUACAAUUCUUGCAAAUAAUAACAGUGAUACGCAACUUUAUUCACAAUAUAAUACAGGUUUAAUUCGAUUGGUACAACCAAUAGACUUUUUGGCUAAAAAAGGAUCUCAAGUUCUAUGGCUCUUGCAAGAUCCUGUGCUCAAGGAAAGACUGCCGGCACAAUUAUCAAGUUUAGACAACAAACAGAUCAAUUUGUGCAAUAAAGCGGCCGAGAAGAUAUUGUCUCAUAGUGAGGCUCGUAUAUGGCAAAGCAGCAAAUUGGUUGGGAUGGGUGUUCUUGAACAAAGUCCAGAUGGUUAUUUGGCGAGUCCAUUGUCUCUUCGUCAUAAAGUCCAAAUAUUAUUAAACACAUACUGCAACGAUCAUAUGAAUUUCGAUGAUGGCAGUUGUUGCAGUUAUCCCGAGCCGGCAACUACUCUACAAUUGUUAAGUCUGUCUGCGCUUGCAUUAUUCCUAACAAUAGGAGGAGGAGUAUGGCUGUACAGAAAAUUAUGCAAGUAUCGUUCCGAAGUAGCCUAUUCUCAUGUUACCACUGAAGAAGUAGAAGAUAUGGAAGAAGCAGGUACUUCGGAAGUCAUUCAAGUCAAGCAACCCGAGGUACAAGAUUUCUAUACCCUUGUUACAUCACUGGCCCUCUUUUCCAUUAUAUUAGCUUAUUUUUACUUAUGUGACAGAACGAAUUUUUUUAUGAAGGAGAACAAGUAUUAUAGUGAAUUCAGUUUUUGGCUACCACUCGGCUACAUCUUAGCUCUUGGAUUAUUUUUCACUGAAGAUCGCGAGAGAGGACCGAGAGUAUUAAAUAGAGAACAAACAGAUGAAUGGAGAGGUUUAAUGCAAGCGGUUGUGCUCAUUUAUCAUGUCACUGGUGCCAAAAAUGUCUUGCCAAUUUAUAUGUAUUUAAGAUUAAUUAAUUCUGCCUACUUAUUUCUGUCUGGGUAUGGACACUUUUAUUACUUUUGGCAAACUGGCGACGUGUCUCUUGUCAGAUUUGCUAGAGUCAUGUUUAGAUUAAACUUAUUAACGGUAUCUUUAUGCCUUUGUAUGAACAGGCCAUAUCAAUUUUAUCAUUUCGUACCGUUGGUAUCGUUCUGGUUUUUAGUGAUUUACUUUCUAGCUUGGUUACCACCUAGAAUAUAUUCUGGAAGUUUAGCAGAAUAUGGACCAAGAGCUUUGCUGUAUUUUGCUUUAAAACUCUUGGGUCUUGUAUCGAUAAUUACUAUACUAUACAUGUCGGAGGUGUUCUUUGAGAAAGUUUUUGUCACAAGACCUUGGAAAGCAUUAUUCGUGACGACUGAUGACGAUAUCCGCGAAUGGUGGUCUCGUUGGAGAGUCGACAGAUACAGCGUAGUCUGGGGUUUGACUUUCGGAGCUGGUCUUGUUGCUCUUCAGAGAAUAGAUCACAUUCCAGGCACUGCGUUAUCUUCUGUACUGGCAUUAGUUUCUUUAAUAGCGUAUACUACUUUUACGAUUUUGUGUCACUCUGUAUCAGAAUGUGAGGAAAUUCAUUCUUACGUCGCCUUUAUUCCGAUUAUAGGAUAUAUCGCUCUCCGAAACGCAUCCUUGGCAUUACGGGGAAAACACUCUGCACUUUUAGCUGGAUUGGGUAGAAUAAGUUUGGAAACUUUGGUUGCACAAGGUCAUAUAUGGCUGGCAGCAGAUUCACACGGAGUACUUGUACUAUUACCUAGAUUUCCAGUUUUGAAUCUAUUGGUUACAUCGUUUAUUUUUAUCUGCGCCAGUCAUGAAAUUCAUAGAUUGACACACGUUUUAGCACCGUAUGCAGUACCGAACGAUUGGAAAUUGGUAGCUCGCAAUUUGCUGCUGUUUAUAGCUGUCCUAGUACCUAUCGGCAUUCAUGAUGGAAUGUUUUAAAAAUUAGGAAUGUCGUCAAAGAUAUAAAAUCAAAGAUUAGCAGUAUUAAUGUGUGUGAAGAAAAAACUUCAUAUCAUUAUUUAAGGAGGAAAUAAAAGUUGAUGACUUGUGCUGGAGGCCAUAUGACCCACUCGGCUACAUAUAA